rnacentral:rRNA from 1 species
ACGCGAAGAACCUUACCUGGACUCGAAAUUUUGUUGACAGUCUCAGAGAUGAGAUCUUCCCGCAAGGGACAGCAGAAUAGGUGCUGCAUGGCUGUCGUCAGCUCGUGUCGUGAGAUGUUGGGUUAAGUCCCGCAACGAGCGCAACCCUCAUCCUUAGUUGCUCGUCCGCAAGGAAAGCACCCUAAGGGAACCGCCUCGGAUAACGGGGAGGAAGGUGGGGAUGACGUCAAGUCCUCAUGGCCUUUAUGCCCAGGGCUACACACGUGCUACAAUGGCCGGUACAAACCGUCGCUAACCCGCGAGGGGGAGCCAAUCGGAAAAAACCGGUCUCAGUUCGGAUUGCAGGCUGCAACUCGCCUGCAUGAAGCUGGAAUCGCUAGUAAUCACGUAUCAGAACGACGUGGUGAAUACGUUCCCGGGCCUUGUA